AAGUGUCACGGACUGACCAUAGUCUUCAUUCCGUAUUCCCCUGCACUGCUUGGGGGUGAGGAGGUAGAAGAUAGGGGUUGAGAGGAAGAUCUUAUCUAGCAUUCCUAUGUCCUAUGUUCAUGUCUGAUCAGCGACCAUGACAGCAUGCAGCAGGAGAAGUCCAAGGAUUUUCGAGACUACAGAAACUGCAAUGGAUCAAAUAUAAGGCUGUAAAGUUGGAAGAAGACUGUUGUUUCCCAUUCCCGCUUCACAGGAACUUCAGAUCAGAAGAAGACCUCACAGAUAAGGAUUUCUCAAGUCUUCACUCUAGUCAAAAUUUAAUCAAGCUCCAUCUAAAGAAUUUUAUAAUUCAUUCAAUCCAUUAGAAGUUCACUCUGAAACUUUUGACUUUGCAGACUAAAAGCCUUCUAACUUCCAAGAAAAAAUGAAUUAUAAUCAUCAGAGAUGAAGUGUUACGGACUGACCACAGUCCCCAUUCCCCAUUUCCUAUGACUUGCAUGAGCACAUUUGCAUUUUUAGGAGCAACCUCCAUCUAGUUCAGCAGAUCAUUCACCUUACUUACAGUCUACUAUUUUAACUCUGCACUCUAGAUAUCUUCCUGUAAAACUGUUGUGGAUUGACAUUUUCAGGUGGGUUGCGUAUCUGCUCUUGAAUGUCAGGAAUUUAAACUUAUUUCAUAGUUUUGAAUUGUGUCUCAUAUUAAAGCAGUUUAUAACAUUUAUUUGAAUCUACUUCAUUUCUCUGUAAACGGCUUGCUGAGGAGUAACAGAAUCACUCAGGCAAUACAACCACUACAUCGUAUUUUAUUGCUUUCACUCUGCCUCUCUAUCUCUGUGGCUUUUUGUUAAAAUCUGUAUUUUACUAGCAUGGCAUAAACCCUCGAGAGUUCAUUCCUUUAAUUCUUUGGAUCAUUCAGACUACACCUAGACCAGAUAGCACAGUACUAUUCCUUUGUAUUUUCUUAAAAUAGAUUCUUGACUUCAGCUGUGCACAUUAUUUUCCUUAGUCAGCCCCACUUCUCUUUUUCCCUUCCCUUCUGUCACUUUCCUGCGACGAUAAAACCAAAACCAUUGGCACGGGGCGGGGGUGGGGCAGUAUGUGAGGUAACAAAAAACCCUGAGCAGAUCGAAGGAAGAUUUUGUUGCAUUAAUAGUAUAAUUAGUUAGCAGUUUACUGGAUUAUUCUUACUACUUCAGCACUCUAGUGAAGAUCAGGAUGCUAUUUCAAGUGACACAUCUUUUACUGAAAUUAAAAGAAAAA